UACGGGGGGGGCGAGCGUUGUCCGAAGUUACUGGGCGUAAAGCGCGUGUAGGCGGGUUGUUAAGUCCGCUGUGAAAGCCCGGUGCUCAACGCCGGAGGGUCGGUGGAUACUGGCAGUCUUGAAGUGGCUAGGGGGAAAUGGAAGUUACCGGUGUAGCGGUGAAAUGCGUAGAUAUCGGUAGGAACACCAGUGGCGAAGGCGGUUUCCUGGAGCCCACU
rnacentral:rRNA from 1 species